rnacentral:lncRNA from 1 species
AUCUAUAGGCUACACAAUAAAUCAGACAUUAAAUAACGCAACAAACUGUUCACAAUUUUAAGUAGAAUUCAGAACAUCAUUCCUACCUAGUACAGAGUGACACUGCGAAUACCGGACCAUAGCCAUCCUACCUCGUCAGUCCGUCUGCCCAAGAACUUUUGGCCCGUUCCCGCUCCACCCGUCCACUACGGAGCUGGUUGAAGCCAGGCAACAGUCGCCAUCCCGAGUCAUGAACGGCGGCAGUCUUCUAGGUGGCUCAACAUUGCUGUCAGCACAACAGAGCAUUAUCUGGACCAGGGUCCAUGGUCCCGCACUGCUGAUUGUCAGUUGGUGCUAGAGUCCUGCUGUCACCCCGGUUCCAGGCAGAGUCCAGCCUGUAAGUUGGUGCUAGAGUUCUGCUGUCACACCGGUUCCAGAGUCCAGCCUGACAGUUGGUGCUAGAGUUCUACUGUCACCCCGGUUCCAGAGUCCAGCCUGACAGUUGGUGCUAGAGUUCUGCUGUUUCCCCGGUUCCAGGCAGAGUCCAGCCUGUAAGUUGGUGCUAGAGUUCUGCUAUCUCUCUGGUUCCAGAGUCCAGCCUGUCAGUUGGUGCUAGAGUUCUGCUCUCUCUCUGGUUCCAGAGUCCAGUCUGUCAGUUGGUGCUAGAGUUCUGCUGU